CAAAAAAACAUUAUUAAUAUCAGAUUGAAAAGAAGAAGCAUAUAAGUAUAUUAAACAAAACCAAACAGAAAAAGGAUCACUUACAGUCAGAAAAAAUAUUACAGAUACAUCUAUUUAAAAAAAAUGAAAAUUAAUUUUACACAAAAUGAUCAAUAUGACCAAGAAUAUGGAGUACCAUAACAUCAGAGAUAUAUUAAAUAGAAGAGAAUAUAUCUCAAUUAAGAUAUAUAAUGAAUCUAAAAAGUUUCUGCAGAUUGAGAAUCACUCCAAUUUUAUUUUAUCAAUGCCAAUAUGAUUAGAUUAAAACAGGAGUUGAAGAAGAAAAAGAUAAUAAAAAAGAGCAGUUCCUAGCGAAGGAUGAAGAAAAUGCCCAAGAUAAAGUUGAAAAUGAAGAAAUAGAGGCAGAAACUGUAGAGGCAGAAACUGUAGAGGCAGAGACUGUAGAGGCAGAAACUGUAGAGGCAGAAACUCUAGAGGCAGAAACUGUAGAGGCAGAAACUCUAGUGGCAGAAACUGUAGAGGCAGAGACUGUAGAGGCAGAAACUGUAGAGGCAGAGAGUGCAUCAAAAGUACAGCGUAAUACAGCAGAAAAACAGAUCUCUCCAUUGGCUAAAGCAAUUGACAAGGUUAAAUAUAUUAAAGCACUGUGGCCAGCAUGUAGACAAAUAUGUCCGACAAACAUAACAACUUGUAUGUGCGGUCUUUAAAAUAUAAAGCAUGUUUAUGAUGUCUGUUUCAGUCCUUGUCCUAAUAAGAGUGCAUUUUUUUUUACUUAUUAUGGUAUAAUUCAUUCCUAUUGAUUUUUUUAAAA